rnacentral:rRNA from 1 species
GAUGAACGCUGGCGGCGUGCCUAAUACAUGCGAGUCGAGCGAAAAGACGAGGUGCUUUCUUCUCUUAAUUUCGCGGCGGACGGGUGAGUAAAACGUGGCUAACCUUCCUAUAUGACUGGGAUAAAUUCGGGAAACCGGAGCUAAUAACGGCAUAUUUAUUGAACAGCAUGGUUCAAUAGUGAAAGGCGGUUUUCCAGUCACUUAUCGGUGGUUCCGCGCCGCAUUAGCUAGUUGGUAAGGUAACGGCUUACCAAGGCAACGAUGCGUAGCCGACCUGAGAGGAUGAUCGGCCACACUGGAACUGAGACACGGUCCAGACUCCUACGGGAGGCAGCAGUAGGGAAUCUUCCGCAAUGGGCGAAAGCUUGACGGAGCAACGCCGCGUGAGUGAUGAAGGUCUUCGGAUCGUAAAACUCUGUUAUCAGGGAAGAACAAAUGUGUAAGUAACUAUGCACGUCUUGACGGUACCUAAAUAGAAAGCAACGGCUAACUACGUG